UACGUAGGGUGCGAGCGUUGUCCGGAAUUAUUGGGCGUAAAGGGCUCGUAGGCGGUCUGUUGCGUCGGGAGUGAAAACUCAGGGCUUAACCCUGAGCCUGCUUCCGAUACGGGCAGACUAGAGGUAUGCAGGGGAGAACGGAAUUCCUGGUGUAGCGGUGAAAUGCGCAGAUAUCAGGAGGAACACCGGUGGCGAAGGCGGGUCUCUGGGCCGUAACUGACGCUGAGGAGCGAAAGCGUGGGAGCGAACAGG
rnacentral:rRNA from 1 species